rnacentral:rRNA from 1 species
UACGGGGGAGCAAGCGUUGUUCGGAUUUACUGGGCGUAAAGGGCGCGUAGGCGGCCACCGCAAGUCGACUGUGAAAUCUCCGGGCUUAACCCGGAAAGGUCAGCCGAUACUGCGGGCUAGAGUGCAGAAGGGGCAACUGGAAUUCCCGGUGUAGCGGUGAAAUGCGUAGAUAUCUGGAGGAACACCGGUGGCGAAGGCGGCAUCCUGGACCGGUAUUGACGCUGAGGCGCGAAAGCCAGGGGAGCAAACGGGG